rnacentral:rRNA from 14 species
CUGAACCAGCCAUGCCGCGUGCAGGAAGACGGUCCUAUGGAUUGUAAACUGCUUUUAUUUGGGAAUAAACCUGGGUACGUGUACCCAGCUGAAUGUACCAAACGAAUAAGCACCGGCUAACUCCGUGCCAGCAGCCGCGGUAAUACGGAGGGGGCAAGCGUUGUUCGGAUUUACUGGGCGUAAAGGGCGCGUAGGCGGAUGAUCAAGUCAGAG